GUUCUACUCCCUCCGUCCCGAAUUACUUGUCACAGGUAUGGAUCUAUCUAAAUGUAUUUUAGUUCUAGAUACAUCCAUUUAUGCGACGAGUAAUUUGGAACGGAGUGAGUAGAUG
rfam:Triticum urartu cultivar G1812 contig862100, whole genome shotgun sequence.